AAGACUUUAAGUUAAUUAAACUAAUAGCCUUCAAAGCUAUAAAUAUAAGCCUUUAUCUUUUAAGUCUUA
rnacentral:tRNA from 1 species